rnacentral:pre_miRNA from 2 species
GUAUUACCGGGAGUUCCCUUCAAGCACUUUAGGAAGCACCUUUUUCAGGUAUUAUGUGAAGUGUUUUGGGGAACUCUUGGUCUAAC